GUCCUCCGAGACAGCACACGGGAACCCACACGGCACUCCGAAGGACGUCACUAGGAGGGGGACCAGGUGUGACCCUGAAGACUGGGAGUGCCACCCUGACCAGGCUGAAGCUGACAUGAUUAGCAAGCAUCGUAACCUUGCAACCAAUGGGAACCUGAGGAACUGCAUCACAAAAGUGAAAGGGACGCCCACCCAGCACUUCUUCGAGGAUGGUGCCUUGAAGAAGGGAGAAGUGCGCCUAAAGUGAAUGCCAUGGCAGGCAUUGCGCUGAGGCUUGGGCCAUGUGGAACUGGAGGCAGCCAAGUCAUCAAAGAAGAUAGGACUUCGGCUCAUUCAGAAACCAUGUGAACUACGGCACAAGAGGCCCAGGGCACCGGGACAGCUGGCUGAAUAAACAGCUAAGCCUUUCAAACAUUGAAGUGUAUGCUAUCCC